AUGGAAGAGCAAUGGAGACUUACAGGUUUCUAUGGUGAGCCUAAAUGGGAGGACAAACAUUUGUCUUGGAGCUGCUUAUGUGGUCUAUCUCAACAGAACCAACUCCCAUGGGUAGUUGUGGGUGACUUCAACGAGAUCUUAUACUCGCAUGAGAAGGAGGGGGGAGCACCGAGGCCAGUUGGUAUGAUGCAAAACUUCAGAGAUGGACUGGUUGAUUGUGAACUCGAGGACAUGGGGUUUGUUGGUGAGCAGUUCACGUGGCGAAGGCGCAGAUUGAGGGAACGUCUGGACAGAACAGUAUGCAAUGGAGCAUUCUUUGGACUGGUUCCCACUGCUGUAGUUACAAAUGCACCCCACACAAAAUCGGAUCAUAGACCGGUGGUG
rnacentral:rRNA from 1 species